rnacentral:RNase_P_RNA from 1 species
CUAAGAGGGUAAAUGAUCGCUGCAACAUUUUUGUAGCAGAGGAAAGUCCGAACACCAUUUUAGUCCUUUUAAUAAGGGCGGAUAAUCGAUAACAUCGACCCAAUGGUCCAGUGGACUAUUGAGGACAAGUGCAACAGAAAAUAAACCCGCCAUUCUCUUUUUUUGGAGUUUGGUAAGGGGUGAAACGGUGGUAAUUCCGAUCAGGAAUUUAUCGGUUCAACGGAUCGAUAGUAAGAGACCACCAGUUCUAGUGGCGACACUGGAAGCUAGGUAAACUCUAUCCGGUGCAAACCCAAGUAGGUUUUCAUUUAAUAGAUGAAAACGGGUUGGGUGCUAAAGCUUACUAGCAAUAGUAAGAUUAGAUAGAUGAUCAUUCACGACAGAAUUCGGCUUAUCGCCCUCUUAGAUUU